AGUUAAGCAGCCACUCUUGAUAUAAAACACCACACUGGUGCACCUGGGAGUCUUGGGUUUUUGCCUACCGGCAGGGAGUGCCAGGGUCAUGGGGCAGCAUUGCAGAAGAUGACUAUGGUGAAGAUGAUUGAGAAUAUUCUCCAUUAUUGGGUGCGGACAUAAAGGGGAACUGUAAUUACAUCACAGAAGAGAAAUCACCUGUCUAGUUCCAUCUAGUUAUUAUAUGGAUUGGGUUUCAAACCCAGGAUUUUCAACUCCAUCCCCGCUCCCUAAAUUCAGCUCAGACUUUUCCCUGUAAUCUUAACAAUCUGCAAAACAGUCACCUUAAAGGUGAUAAUUCUGUUCACCAGGGAGUGCUAGCACGCUACCUGCUUCCUGGGUACUGCAGAUCCUUGGACAAUUCCAUAUUUUCAGUGCAAACCAGGAGGAAAAGCUCAAUUAUAGGAGAUAAACACUGGAUCCAUCAUAUCAAAGACUUUGUCCUGAUCGGGCAAGAUAAACAGGACGUGGCUAACACACUGGAGACCUCGCAAGACACUUUCAGAUGAUGGGAAAUAAACUCUGUUUGUAAGGCACUGUACUCUGUGGAUAACUCAAAAUCUGGCUGCCUGUCUUCACUGGGGUACAUUCUGGGAUAUAGUGUGAUAUGAAAGACCACACACAGCUUUUUUAAGUGCUGGCAGCUCUUCUUACUGCACUACUCUGGUGAGCUUUCUGGGAACCCAGAAGCUGUUGGGUGAGUUCUGUGGAACUCUGAAAAUGCUGAAGGAAGCCAGGAAGCAGUUCUCCUUUUACUAUAUCUGGGCAGAUCAUCAGGCUUCCGAGACCCGUCCCCAGAUCGAGGUACCCGCGUACAUGUGCAUGCACGUGGAGAGGAGCAGGGACAGAACAAGGGGGCGACGCCGGUGGCGUAGUCUGCCCCCAACACUAGGAGGAAGUUACGAAGACCAGCUUUGGACCCAGACCCCACGCUGGAGAAGCUCAUAAAGGUGGCCAAUUCUGUCUAUCACAGUAGCGAUCAGGAGGCGGCUCCCCAGCAAGAGAUGAGAAAGUAAGGUUACUGCCCUAGGGGCCACUUUGCGGGCUUUCCACUUCUGCUCCCCAGAAAAGAACCCCCAACAGCUGCCUAUUUUGGUUGUGGCAAACAAGAUCACUUUAAAAGGAUUGUCUUCAUAAUAAACUGGGCCCAGACUACAAGGGCAGCCACUGGAAACCAGGGUACCCCUGAGAUGAAGGCCUCAGGGAUCAGUUCAGGCCUCCCAGUUGGUCCAGAGGGAUUGAGGGCUUGCCUCAUUCCUGUUGGAACAGCCACAAUUGCCAUUUAGGAACCUUGGGUUCUUUCGGGGGUUGAGGGGAUUGGAUAUCAAUUAUUAUUAGACACUGGGGCCACCUACUCUGUUCUUAUCUCCCACUGUGGUCUGUUCUCUGAAACUGCCACUGCGCAGUACAGGGUGUGUCUGGGAUCUCUACUCCAUCAUUUUACUGAGCCCCUAAGCAGCUCCUGGGACUCCCACCUCCUCUCCCGAUCCUUUGUGGUCAUGCCUGACUACCCCACCCCACUCCUGGGCAGGAUGUCCUGGUCCAGACCUCACCCAGUCAUCCUUGCCACCCUUGCCACUGUAAAGUGGGAAGGCCAAGAGUCCAGGAUUCAUCACUUGGGUGUAAAGGCCUGGAAACUUGUGCCUGCUUCACAGCCAGCUACAGCCCCUCCUUCUCAGUACAGCUGUGAGACUCUUGAGGAUUUGAGAUUCCUGUUCUGUAGACAUCUGGCGAGGCCAGUCCAGACCCGCCCCAUGUGUUUCUUCUCGUUAUAGCCACUCUUUUUGUGUCACACUGUUUGAAUGCACCUCUCCCACUGCCCCAUAAUUUUGCAGAGCAAGGCGGGGUCUUUGUUGUUGUUAAUAAAUCUUAUUGUGCCUUCAACUCCAGCUCACCAGUGAAAGAGGACAUCCUCACCCUGUAUGACAAGGCUUCAUGGCUCCACAACCUUAAGGAAACAUCUGCCACCCAACUCUGGGACCAGAUGAAGGGGUGCAUUCCCUUCACUGCUUGGUUCCUCCCGCUCUUGGGACCAUUACUAGCUAUCCUGCCGCUUCUCAUUUUUGGUCCAUGUCGCUUAAAUCUUAUCUUCAAAUUUGUUUCUUCCAGGCUGCAAACUUGGUCAAGCUCCAGGUGGUGGUCCAGAUGGACCCACCUUUGACCGUCCCCACUGAUUUCUACCAGGGCACCUUGGAUAGACCCCCUUCUGGGUGUUAUCCCUGACUGCACAUCCUUCGCCCCCUCUCAGCAGGAAGUAGCCAGAUCGGUCAUCGCCCACUUCCCCUAAUGGCAGUUGGGGUUACAACUCUGAAGCGGGGGAUGAAGGGAAGAAGGUAGGAAAUGGAUAUAGGCAGGCAGUUAGGAACAGGGUGCCCCAAGUCAUUUAUUAGCCUCACUGGGAAGCAGGCACAGACCAAGAAGGUAGUCCCCCUUCAACUCAAUUAAAAAAUGGCAUAUUCAAAAUUCCUACUCAGUAGCACAAUAAUAACACAGGGCUCAAGCAACAGACCAAGGCUAGUACGUUUGAGAAGGGUAGGCAAGGUAAUGUGGGCAAAAUAGGAGAAGCUCACAAACUCAGUGGCCCCUUGGUAGCCUAAGAGACCCUUGCCAAUCAGAAAGAGGCACAGCACAGGCCAAACCCUCACACUUUGCUCACCAUAAGCACCUGCUUCAUACCCCCUCAGUGGCUACCCAUUCGGGACCCCUUUGUUCAGAGUGCUUUCAUGUUCUUCCUAGUUCUCAAUAAAUCUCUUGGUUUUCUGUAACUUUGGUUUCGAUAUUGAAUUCUUUCCUUG